CUUGUCGCCUAGAUUAUGAUAUAUAAUGUGACCCUACUUUAUUUGAAUUGAAAAUUAAUGAUAGAUGUAGAUCCCUCUCCACUUUCGAUUUGAGAUCUUUUUGGGUUUGGGUCUUAAUCAUAGGCUAAUUAAAUAGCUAACCAGCAGUAAGGUAUAUAUUUUCGUUAUCAAAGUAUUUAGGCAUGCAAGGUGACGGUGAGUGUGGCCAUGAUUUUGUUAGUUAAGUGUCAAUUUGUAAUUUUUAUAAAUCCUCAAAUUUAAUGUUGGGCACCCAAGAGUUGGUAUAUAUCCCUUUCCAUCAUCCAUGCACGUGAUUAUAAAUCCAAAACAGAAAUGAAAAAAUAAAAAAAAAUAGAAAAGCAAUUGCCUGGGCCUAAAGCUCAAGCCCAACAGACAAUAUAUAUAAGUUGUUAGAUGGAGCCCAAGUUUCUUUACUCAAACAAAUAUUCAAACCCAUGUUUGGUGGUUUGAUUGAGUCUCUCUCUCUCACUUAGUAUUUCAAAAUCAUGGAGACAAAACCCUCAAAUACUUUGAUCACACACAAAGACUAACACCAUAAACUUAUGUAUUUAUACGCUCC
rnacentral:lncRNA from 1 species